rnacentral:lncRNA from 1 species
UAUACUGGGGAUACUGGGAUGGACUGGGUAUACUGGGUUAUACUGGUUAUACUGGGUUAUACUGGGAUAUACUGGGUAUACUGGGAUGGGCUGGGUUAUACUGGGUAUACUGGUUAUACUGGGAUGGACUGGGUUAUACUGGUUAUACUGGGAUGGUUAUACUGGUUAUACUGGGUAUACUGGGUUAUACUGGGAUGGACUGGGAUGGACUGGGACGCGGCCACGGGGCUGUUACUGGGAACCGGUAUGGAGAUACUGGGUUAUACUGGGAUAUACUGGGAUGGACUGGGACGCGGCCACGGGGCUACUGCUGGGAACCGGUAUGGAACUGGGGAUGCUGGGAUAUACUGGUAUGGACUGGGUAUACUGGGAUGGACUGGGAAUGGACUGGGAUGGACUGGGAGGCGGCCACGGGGCUGCUGCUGGGAACCGGUAUGGGACUGGUUUAUACUGGGAUGGUUAUACUGGGUUAUACUGGGAUAUACUGGGAUAUACUGGGUAUACUGGGAUGGGCUGGGUUAUACUGGUUAUACUGGGUUAUACUGGGAUGGACUGGGAUGCGGCAACAGGGCUGCUGCUGGGAACCGGUAUGGAACUGGGGAUACUGGGAAUACUGGGAUGGACUGGGAUGGACUGGGACGCGGCCACGGCCCUGCUGCUGGGAACCGGUAUGGAACUGGUUAUACUGGGAUAUACUGGGAUGGACUGGGAUGGGCUGGGGGGAACUGGGAGGGACUGGGGGGAACUGGGAUGGACUGGGAUGGGAAUGGGGGGGACUGGGAGGGACUGGGAUGGGAAUGGGAUGGACUGGGAUGGACUGGGAUGGACUGGGAUAGACUGGGAUGGGAAUGGGAUGGGACUGGGAGGGAGUGGGACAGAUUGGGAUCACCUGGGAUGUCCUGGGCUCACCUGGGACGGACUGGGAUGGGACUAGGACGGACUGGGAUCCCCCGGAUCCCACCUGUGCUCACCUGGUUCCCCCCUGGUUCCCCCCCGUCCCCCCCCAGCGCAUCGGGGAGGAUUUCGUGUCCGACCUGGACCAGCUGCAGCGGCU